AACGAACGCUGGCGGCAUGCCUAACACAUGCAAGUCGAACGAGAUCCUUCGGGGUCUAGUGGCGCACGGGUGCGUAACGCGUGGGAAUCUGCCCUUAGGUACGGAAUAACUCAGGGAAACUUGUGCUAAUACCGUAUGAUGUCUUCGGACCAAAGAUUUAUCGCCUAGGGAUGAGCCCGCGUAGGAUUAGCUAGUUGGGUGGGGUAAAGGCCUACCAAGGCUACGAUCCUUAGCUGGCUGAGAGGAUGAUCAGCCACACUGGGACUGAGACACGGCCCAGACUCCUACGGGAGGCAGCAGUGGGAAUCUUGCGCUAAUGCGGGAAACCGUGACGCAGCGACGCCGCGUGAGGGAAGAAGGCCUUGGUGUAACUCUUC
rnacentral:rRNA from 1 species